rnacentral:lncRNA from 1 species
GAGUCCGAGAGGGACGAGACCAAUCCCGAGAAGGGGUCAGAUCAAGUCGAGAAUGGCAGCGAAUGCUUUUAACUCUAUUGUCUCUGUGCUAUCUAGAGCUGCUACUGCCGGUCCGAAUCAUCGUCAUUCCCACCGGAAAACAUACUUGAGGGAAGCCUAGAACACUAUAAUUAGUGAUUAUAUAUUAAACAUUGUGUUGCAACUAACUUGUUAACGUAUUAUAAAGUAAUUUUCUUCUUCUCCUUCAUCUUUUCUCUAUUGUUAUAUAUUUGUAUAUUUCCACCCUAUGAUAUUCACUUAACAGAAAACCAAAAGUUCAUAAUAUACACCAAAAAGAUGACAUGAGAAUUUAUCCACUUAAUUUCCAUGAAAUAUACGAGUUGUUUGUGCAAAGUGUUAAAGGAAAAGACCCUUCCCCC